GCGCCUGUAGCUCAGUGGAUAGAGCACUGGUCUCCGGAACCAGGGGUCGCGCGUUCGACUCGCGCCAGGCGUACCA
rnacentral:tRNA from 1 species